rnacentral:lncRNA from 1 species
AUGGGGACGCUGUUCCCGGCGCGGCYGGGCCCUGCCAGCGCCCGUGGUCGGCCUCGCGCCGCCGUGCCAGCCUUGGCCCCGGGCCCGGCACGUGGCGGCUCCGGGGGCGUCUCGGCGYGGCCCCCCCUCGCCCUGCCUCCGGGGGGGCUCUUCAAAGAGCCUCUUUUCUCCCUCUUCUGCGGUGCUGCCGUCGCCGGCGGGCYGAGCUUUUCCCCCCCGGAUGCGGCGCCCGCUGGAGGGAGCGCGGGAAAAGCCAAGCGUUUCUUCCCGCGCCAGCAGGAGCUGAGGUUGCCCAGGAAUCCGGGAACAUGCCCGGCACGGCGGCUCCCUCGCCUCCCUCUCUCCGCGGGGCGGCGGGGGGGUGCCACCGCCCUCCCCGAUGGCACGUCCGGGGUGUCACCGCGGCGGCUGGCUCCCCGUCCCCUCCGCUCUCCGGCUGCGCUGGAGCUGCCCGGCGUGGAGGAAAGGCGAGGGCGAUCCAGCAGACAACGCGGACACCGGUGCGAAAGCACCCAAAGGUGCACGCGUGCCCCGGCGUGGGUGCACGGCCCCGCGCCCCCCCCCUCCCUGCCACCACGUCCCCCCCCGGGGCGCCACGGACGGGGCCGGCAGCCGGCAGCGUGCCAGGGAGCCAAGCGCUGCCAAGGCUGCUGGGCCGGGGCCAAGGCGCCGCCGGGAUGUGCCGGGCUCCUCACCACGGCCUCCUUCCUGCCCCCGGCACGCGGGGAAGGGCAGAGCCCCGGGUGGGGGUGUCCUCCGUGGGGUGGCACCGGCUCCCGCCACCGGGUCCCCCUGCCGGUGCCACCACUGCCCGGGGCACCUCUGCCAACCCCCUUGGGGACCGGCGGGGGCGAGCACUGUGCCCCCCUUGCACCUCGAAUUGGGAGCCCCCAUCCCCAUCCCGAUGCAGCCAUUAUCCAGCCUUCCCGGCCAGUCCAGAGCUGGGCGGAGGGAGGAGACAUCGGCAUCUCCCAUGACGGCAYGGCCUUGCCGGAGUGGCCGGGAAGUGGUGUUUAUCCUCCGCCAGCUCGCGGCAGCUCUCGGAGGAGCCGAAGGUCACCCGAGCUCCUCCUCAGACUAAACAAGGCCGGGGGGGGGCCACGGUCCCCUCUGGGGCUGGGCACCCUGGGGACAACUGGGCUCGGUCCUGGCGGGUGGGUGCGGAGGGUCCCGGCGCCAGGGAACCCAGCCUCGGGCCGUGCAGGGCCGUGCCCCGAGGGACCCCAUCCUGGUCCCGUGUCCCACCCCGGCGCCCACCCCCUGCUCCGGGGCUUGAAUCCCUCCAGGGCUCCGCAGAGG